rnacentral:rRNA from 1 species
UACGUAGGGGCCAAGCGUUGUCCGGAUUUAUUGGGCGUAAAGAGCUCGUAGGCGGUUCGGCAAGUCAGCUGUGAAAUCGUCCACGCUCAACGUGGAGGGGUCAGCUGAUACUGCUGUGACUUGAGUCCGGUAGGGGAGUGUGGAAUUCCCGGUGUAGCGGUGAAAUGCGCAGAUAUCGGGAGGAACACCAGUAGCGAAGGCGGCACUCUGGGCCGGAACUGACGCUGAGGAGCGAAAGCG